rnacentral:rRNA from 1 species
AUGGCGACCGGCGCACGGGUGAGUAACACGUAUCCAACCUGCCGAUAACUCGGGGAUAGCCUUUCGAAAGAAAGAUUAAUACCCGAUGGUAUAAUCAGACCGCAUGGUUUGAUUAUUAAAGAAUUUCGGUUAUCGAUGGGGAUGCGUUCCAUUAGGCAGUUGGUGAGGUAACGGCUCACCAAACCUUCGAUGGAUAGGGGUUCUGAGAGGAAGGUCCCCCACAUUGGAACUGAGACACGGUCCAG